rnacentral:rRNA from 1 species
AAGCUACUAAGAGCGAAUGGUGGAUGCCUUGACUGGUAAAGGCGAUGAAGGACGUACUAGACUGCGAUAAGCUACGGGGAGCUGUCAAGAAGCUUUGAUCCGUAGAUUUCCGAAUGGGGCAACCCAAUGUAUAGAGAUAUACAUUACCUAUAUAGGAGCGAACGAGGGGAAUUGAAACAUCUUAGUACCCUCAGGAAAAGAAAUCAAUAGAGAUUGCGUCAGUAGCGGCGAGCGAAAGCGCAAGAGGGCAAACCCAGUGCUUGCACUGGGGGUUGUAGGACUGCAAUGUGCAAGAGGUAAGUUUAGCAGAACAUUCUGGAAAGUAUAACCAUAGAGGGUGAUAGUCCCGUAUGCGAAAAACAAACCUUAGCUAGCAGUAUCCUGAGUAGGGCGGGACACGAGGAAUCCUGUCUGAAUCCGGGUCGACCACGAUCCAACCCUAAAUACUAAUACCAGAUCGAUAGUGCACAAGUACCGUGAGGGAAAGGUGAAAAGAACUGAGGUGAUCAGAGUGAAAUAGAACCUGAAACCAUUUGCUUACAAUCAUUCAGAGCCCUAUGUAGCAAUACAGGGUGAUGGACUGCCUUUUGCAUAAUGAGCCUGCGAGUUGUGGUGUCUGGCAAGGUUAAGCAAACGCGAAGCCGUAGCGAAAGCGAGUCUGAAUAGGGCGCUUAGUCAGAUGCUGCAGACCCGAAACGAAGUGAUCUAUCCAUGAGCAAGUUGAAGCUAGUGUAAGAACUAGUGGAGGACUGAACCCAUAGGCGUUGAAAAGCCCCGGGAUGACUUGUGGAUAGGGGUGAAAGGCCAAUCAAACUUCGUGAUAGCUGGUUCUCUCCGAAAUAUAUUUAGGUAUAGCGUUGUGUCGUAAUAUAAGGGGGUAGAGCACUGAAUGGGCUAGGGCAUACACCAAUGUACCAAACCCUAUCAAACUCCGAAUACCUUAUAUGUAAUCACAGCAGUCAGGCGGCGAGUGAUAAAAUCCGUCGUCAAGAGGGAAACAACCCAGACUACCAGCUAAGGUCCCUAAAUCUUACUUAAGUGGAAAACGAUGUGAAGUUACUUAAACAACCAGGAGGUUGGCUUAGAAGCAGCCAUCCUUUAAAGAAAGCGUAAUAGCUCACUGGUCUAGUGAUUUUGCGCGGAAAAUAUAACGGGGCUAAAGUAAGUACCGAAGCUGUAGACUUGCACACAACUUAGAUUAUUUAAGUUUAGAAUAUGAGAAACUAAGUUAUAUGUUUAGUUAUAUUUUUACUGAUUUUUAUAGAGUAAAGAUAGAAAUAAAACUUAGUAAAAUCAGUAAAAAUAUUCUUAGACUAAAGUUAAGUAGUUUAAGUUGUGUGCAAGUGGUAGGAGAGCGUUCUAUUUGCGUCGAAGGUAUACCGGUAAGGAGUGCUGGAGCGAAUAGAAGUGAGCAUGCAGGCAUGAGUAGCGAUAAUUAAUGUGAGAAUCAUUAACGCCGUAAACCCAAGGUUUCCUACGCGAUGCUCGUCAUCGUAGGGUUAGUCGGGUCCUAAGUCGAGUCCGAAAGGGGUAGACGAUGGCAAAUUGGUUAAUAUUCCAAUACCAACAUUAGUGUGCGAUGGAAGGACGCUUAGGGCUAAGGGGGCUAGCGGAUGGAAGUGCUGGUCUAAGGUCGUAGGAGGUUAUACAGGCAAAUCCGUAUAACAAUACUCCGAGAACUGAAAGGCUUUUUGAAGUCUUCGGAUGGAUAGAAGAACCCCUGAUGCCGUCGAGCCAAGAAAAGUUUCUAAGUUUAGCUAAUGUUGCCCGUACCGUAAACCGACACAGGUGGGUGGGAUGAGUAUUCUAAGGCGCGUGGAAGAACUCUCUUUAAGGAACUCUGCAAAAUAGCACCGUAUCUUCGGUAUAAGGUGUGGUUAGCUUUGUAUUAGGAUUUACUCCGAAAGCAAGGAAACUUACAACAAAGAGUCCCUCCCGACUGUUUACCAAAAACACAGCACUCUGCUAACUCGUAAGAGGAUGUAUAGGGUGUGACGCCUGCCCGGUGCUCGAAGGUUAAUUGAUGGGGUUAGCAUUAGCGAAGCUCUUGAUCGAAGCCCGAGUAAACGGCGGCCGUAACUAUAACGGUCCUAAGGUAGCGAAAUUCCUUGUCGGUUAAAUACCGACCUGCAUGAAUGGCGUAACGAGAUGGGAGCUGUCUCAAAGAGGGAUCCAGUGAAAUUGUAGUGGAGGUGAAAAUUCCUCCUACCCGCGGCAAGACGGAAAGACCCCGUGGACCUUUACUACAGCUUGACACUGCUACUUGGAUAAGAAUGUGCAGGAUAGGUGGGAGGCUUUGAGUAUAUGACGCCAGUUGUAUAUGAGCCAUUGUUGAGAUACCACUCUUUCUUAUUUGGGUAGCUAACCAGCUUGAGUUAUCCUCAAGUGGGACAAUGUCUGGUGGGUAGUUUGACUGGGGCGGUCGCCUCCCAAAUAAUAACGGAGGCUUACAAAGGUUGGCUCAGAACGGUUGGAAAUCGUUCGUAGAGUAUAAAGGUAUAAGCCAGCUUAACUGCAAGACAUACAAGUCAAGCAGAGACGAAAGUCGGUCUUAGUGAUCCGGUGGUUCUGUGUGGAAGGGCCAUCGCUCAAAGGAUAAAAGGUACCCCGGGGAUAACAGGCUGAUCUCCCCCAAGAGCUCACAUCGACGGGGAGGUUUGGCACCUCGAUGUCGGCUCAUCGCAUCCUGGGGCUGGAGCAGGUCCCAAGGGUAUGGCUGUUCGCCAUUUAAAGCGGUACGCGAGCUGGGUUCAGAACGUCGUGAGACAGUUCGGUCCCUAUCUGCCGUGGGCGUAAGAAGAUUGAAGAGAUUUGACCCUAGUACGAGAGGACCGGGUUGAACAAACCACUGGUGUAGCUGUUGUUCUGCCAAGAGCAUCGCAGCGUAGCUAAGUUUGGAAAGGAUAAACGCUGAAAGCAUCUAAGCGUGAAGCCAACUCUAAGAUGAAUCUUCUCUAAGCUCUCUAGAAGACUACUAGUUUGAUAGGCUGGGUGUGUAAUGGAUGAAAGUCCUUUAGCUGACCAGUACUAAUAGAGCGUUUGGCUUAUCU